AGGCCGUUUAGGCUCAGUCGGUAGAGCAUGAGACUCUUAAUCUCAGGGUUGUGGGUUCAAGCACCACGUGGCUUG